GUUGACAUGUCAUCACUUCAUUUUUUUGCGCCUGCGCAUAAAUCUGAGAAACGUGAGUUUGUCAUCAUUUUUUAUCUAGACAUAGGAUAGGUUGUGUGAAAAUAUUACUGAUGUUUAACGUUAAAAAUGGACCAAAAGAUUAAUGCUAAACAACAUUUGACAUGUUUGAACGAACAUAAAUAGAUUAUUUACUAGGUUUUUUUAGCUUUUCGGCGUGAUUUUACCAGCCCCCCAACCACGUUUUGUGGGAGCAUAAUGAACGCUAAGUACUUGGUGUUAUUUGGACAUAAAUUAUGAACUUUGUCAAAAGAAACCACAUUUGUUCCGGACCUGGAAUGCCUUCCGGACCUGGGAUCCUGCCUUCUGAUGGAGAUAAUCAAAGGCCGGUGGUGGCUGGUCCCCUACAAGAAGAUGAGGUGCCGGAGGUCCCUCCACCCCCCGAUGUCCAGGGGGGGGUCCCCGGCGUACAGCGUAAGGGCCAUUCUGG
rnacentral:lncRNA from 1 species